UACGGAGGAUGCAAGCGUUAUCCGGAAUUACUGGGCGUAAAGCGUGCGUAGGCGGUUCUCCAAGUCCGUUGUGAAAGCCCCGGGCUCAACCUGGGAAUGGCAGUGGAAACUAGGGGACUGGAAUCUGGCAGAGGGGGGUGGAAUGCCGCGUGUAGCAGUGAAAUGCGUAGAGAUGCGGCGGAACACCGAUGGCGAAGGCAGCCCCCUGGGCUGAGAUUGACGCUCAGGCACGAAAGCGUGGGGAGCAAACAGG
rnacentral:rRNA from 1 species